GACGAACGCUGGCGGCGUGCUUAACACAUGCAAGUCGAACGGGACUCUCAUCGUAGCUUGCUACGGAGAAAGUCUAGUGGCGAACGGGUGAGUAACACGUGGGCAACCUGCCCUGGAGGCCGGGAUAACACGGGGAAACUCGUGCUAAUACCGGAUAUCCUACCUUUCCCUCAUGGCAUCGGUAGAAAAGGUUGACUUUGUCUUCCGCUCCGGGAUGGGCCCGCGGCCCAUUAGCUUGUCGGUAGGGUAACGGCCUACCGAGGCGACGAUGGGUAGCCGACCUGAGAGGGUGACCGGCCACACUGGGACUGAGAUACGGCCCAGACUCCUACGGGUGGCAG
rnacentral:rRNA from 1 species